AUUCCGGUGGCCUUGUGGUUAGAGCAUCCGCCUCGGAUGCGGGAGGUCGCAGGUUCGAACCCCGGUCGAAAAA